UAUAUGUGAUGAUUUAUUUUUUUUUAUUUUCAAUAGAUGAUGCACUCAAAAUAUAUUUUGAGUCCAUUAAUUUAUUGUGGAGAAUUUAACACUGAAGUGUUAAAUAUGAAUCUUUUAUCGAUUGUUUACUUAAGCCCAUGAGUAAUUUAAUUUAUGUUAGAGGCAAGCUCAAGUGAAUUUUAUGCUUCAAUGAGAAUUAGGCUUAUAUAUCUUAAUGUGUUUAUAUGAGAUUAAGCACAUAUGGUUCUCAUUCAUCCACAUCCCUCUCAUUCUUCUAUUAAACCAAUCACCAAUACGUUCACAAUUUUCUUCACCUACUACUUCACAAUUUUCUUCACCAAUACGUUCACAAUUUUCUUCACCAAUACGUUCACAAUUUUCUUCACCUACUACUUCACAAUUUUCUUCACCUCUAAAGUCAAUCUCCAAAUAGAAUUUUGCUUCUUUAAAACCUAUUCCACUAUCUCAACUCACCCAUUCCCACCUCUGCAGCAAGUUUUAUAAAGUAAUAGAGUGAAGAUUAUUCAUCUCAUUCAAUUCUUCUUCACAAUUGGCUUCUAAUCUAUGCCAUAUAUAAAAUCUGCAGAGACUAAUACCAUACACCUAUUCAAGGUUCAAAUAAACAAAAGCGUCUGAGUAACCUAUCGCGCUAAGGAAAGAGAAUCGUUGUCUUAAGUAGCAAAACACUGCAAUCAGGUGGGCAUUACUUUUACUAUACGUAUAUAGAGAUCCCCUGCGUGUCGUAGGCCUCUUAUACGAAUGAAUGCAUGAGAUGAUUUAACUGUUAAUUUCAGUUUUAUAUAUCUAUCAAACGAAUUUAAUGUUACAUUUAAACAAGAUAUUUCAUUACAAAAUCAUUGAACUGAAAAUUAUUUCAAUUGUUGUCUUGCCAUAAAUGUUUAAAUUUUAGUAUGAUAUCUAUCUGCUUUGGCUUUGCCAAUGAUGCAAUCGAAUUCGGGUCCUGAGCAGUUGAUAGCUAUCCUGCCAGGACUAGUGUACACCAGUGACCGUGAGUCAUCUAGCGGGUUGGCCGGUCAAGUGACCGUGAGAGGUGGCCACCUCUCCGGCACACAGUUCUAGAUAUGAUAGAUUACAAGAGAACUUAGUCUGCAGACGAACUUUAAGAAUCACAAAUGAACUUAGUAAGCUUGGGCCUUUUUAGCGAAAAACUCCCUUGCUGUACUGUUUAUGAUGGCAUGACAAUUUACAGUUUUGAAGCAUGUAUUUUUAUACCUAGGCAUACGUGCCCACUGAGUGCUUUUGUACUCAGCCCUGCAUAUGUUUUCUAAAUGUGCAGGUUGAGCUGAUGUGAUGAUGGUGCUGCAAUGAGCGGAGUCUCCAAGGUUGUUAAUAAAUAGUUAACCUGUCUAGAAUAUGUCUUCAUACAUAUGUCUAGCUACUUUCCGCUGCAAGAUGUUGUUGAUGUUAUAGUAUGUUAUGUCAUACUUUGAGUCUUAAGAGAAUGGUUUCAUAUGAUGUAUAACUUGAUUAAUGAUAUUAAUUAAGUUUUAUGCUGUCUUUCA